AGAGUUUGAUCAUGGCUCAGAUUGAACGCUGGCGGCAGGCCUAACACAUGCAAGUCGAACGGUAACAGGAAGCAGCUUGCUGCUUCGCUGACGAGUGGCGGACGGGUGAGUAAUGUCUGGGAAGCUGCCUGAUGGAGGGGGAUAACUACUGGAAACGGUAGCUAAUACCGCAUAAUGUCGCAAGACCAAAGAGGGGGACCUUCGGGCCUCUUGCCAUCGGAUGUGCCCAGAUGGGAUUAGCUUGUUGGUGGGGUAACGGCUCACCAAGGCGACGAUCCCUAGCUGGUCUGAGAGGAUGACCAGCCACACUGGAACUGAGACACGGUCCAGACUCCUACGGGAGGCAGCAGUGGGGAAUAUUGCACAAUGGGCGCAAGCCUGAUGCAGCCAUGCCGCGUGUAUGAAGAAGGCCUUCGGGUUGUAAAGUACUUUCAGCGGGGAGGAAGGGAGUAAAGUUAAUACCUUUGCUCAUUGACGUUACCCGCAGAAGAAGCACCGGCUAACUCCGUGCCAGCAGCCGCGGUAAUACGGAGGGUGCAAGCGUUAAUCGGAAUUACUGGGCGUAAAGCGCACGCAGGCGGUUUGUUAAGUCAGAUGUGAAAUCCCCAGGCUCAACCUGGGAACUGCAUCUGAUACUGGCAAGCUUGAGUCUCGUAGAGGGGGGUAGAAUUCCAGGUGUAGCGGUGAAAUGCGUAGAGAUCUGGAGGAAUACCGGUGGCGAAGGCGGCCCCCUGGACGAAGACUGACGCUCAGGUGCGAAAGCGUGGGGAGCAAACAGGAUUAGAUACCCUGGUAGUCCACGCCGUAAACGAUGUCGACUUGGAGGUUGUGCCCUUGAGGCGUGGCUUCCGGAGCUAACGCGUUAAGUCGACCGCCUGGGGAGUACGGCCGCAAGGUUAAAACUCAAAUGAAUUGACGGGGGCCCGCACAAGCGGUGGAGCAUGUGGUUUAAUUCGAUGCAACGCGAAGAACCUUACCUGGUCUUGACAUCCACGGAAGUUUUCAGAGAUGAGAAUGUGCCUUCGGGAACCGUGAGACAGGUGCUGCAUGGCUGUCGUCAGCUCGUGUUGUGAAAUGUUGGGUUAAGUCCCGCAACGAGCGCAACCCUUAUCCUUUGUUGCCAGCGGUCCGGCCGGGAACUCAAAGGAGACUGCCAGUGAUAAACUGGAGGAAGGUGGGGAUGACGUCAAGUCAUCAUGGCCCUUACGACCAGGGCUACACACGUGCUACAAUGGCGCAUACAAAGAGAAGCGACCUCGCGAGAGCAAGCGGACCUCAUAAAGUGCGUCGUAGUCCGGAUUGGAGUCUGCAACUCGACUCCAUGAAGUCGGAAUCGCUAGUAAUCGUGGAUCAGAAUGCCACGGUGAAUACGUUCCCGGGCCUUGUACACACCGCCCGUCACACCAUGGGAGUGGGUUGCAAAAGAAGUAGGUAGCUUAACCUUCGGGAGGGCGCUUACCACUUUGUGAUUCAUGACUGGGGUGAAGUCGUAACAAGGUA
rnacentral:rRNA from 1 species